rnacentral:misc_RNA from 1 species
CGCACCUUGCACCUUUUGGCAUUCCGAAAGGUACAUCUGUUUGAGUGUCAUGAAUACCUCAACCUCUACAUUUUCUUGUUAAAGUGUAGUAGCGUUGGAUGCUGAGCGUUGCUGUUUGCCUUUUGAGCACAGCUCGCUUCAAAUGCAUAAGCAAUCUUUGUACUCCUCGGAUUGACUUGACGUGAUAAGAUCUUCGUCGAGGAUGCUUUCAAUAGCAGCCGGAUUGUACACUAGUCGCUUCUAACCCGAGUCGCCCUAGUGCGAUGCUCCUUUUAAUUUAGACCUCAAAUCAGAUGGGACUACCCGCUGAACUUAA